rnacentral:rRNA from 1 species
AUUGAACGCUGGCGGCAGGCCUAACACAUGCAAGUCGAACGAGUGGCGGACGGGUGAGUAAUGUAUGGGAAACUGCCCGAUGGCGGGGGAUAACGACUGGAACCGGUAGCUAAUACCGCAUACCAUCGGAUGUGCCCAGAGUGGAUUAGCUAGUAGGUGGGGUAAUGGCUCACCUAGGCGACGAUCCAUAGCUGGUCUGAGAGGGUGACCAGCCACACUGGAACGGAGACACGGUCCAGACUCCUACGGGAGGCAGCAGUGGGGAAUAUUGCACAAUGGGCGCAAGCCUGAUGCAGCCAUGCCGCGUGUAUGAAGAAGGCCUGCGGGUUGUAAAGUACUUUCAGCGGGGAGGCGUUACCCGCAGAAGAAGCACCGGCUAACUCCGUGCCAGCAGCCGCGGUAAUUC